AGAUUGAACGCUGGCGGCAGGCCUAACACAUGCAAGUCGAGCGGCAGCACGGGUACUUGUACCUGGUGGCGAGCGGCGGACGGGUGAGUAAUGCCUAGGAAUCUGCCUGGUAGUGGGGGAUAACGCUCGGAAACGGACGCUAAUACCGCAUACGUCCUACGGGAGAAAGCAGGGGACCUUCGGGCCUUGCGCUAUCAGAUGAGCCUAGGUCGGAUUAGCUAGUUGGUGAGGUAAUGGCUCACCAAGGCGACGAUCCGUAACUGGUCUGAGAGGAGUGAUCAGUCACACUGGAACUGAGACACGGUCCAGACUCCUACGGGAGGCAGCGAGUGGGGGAAUAGUUAGGAC
rnacentral:rRNA from 1 species